UUCUGGUGAUUAAUUUUCUGUGGCUUGUGACUUUGUUUCUCUCAACAUUGGCAACGCAUUUGACAGCCAUCUUGUGUGUUAAUGAUGAAACUUGAUGGGCACAUUUAUAUUACUGCUUAAUGGUGCAAUAAUGUAGUUUCAAAGGCAAAAGAUGUGUAAAAAAUAUUUUCUCAUUAAUGUGAUUUUAGCGAAAUUUAAUGUUUUGUGUGGCUUAUGACUAUAUCUCACGCAAAUUCUUAGACCAUUUUGCUCUUCAUAUUAUACCUUGAAAUAAGUAGAAUAAAUGAAGAAUCACCCGAAGAAUCAAAGCCUUCACGGAAAAGAAAGCGAAAUAUUGAUCAGUGGAAGAAAAAUAAAGCAGAACGUCGACGAAAUGCUGGUCAGCAGUAAAAGUCUUUAAAAACCCACAAGACUGUUCAGGCUGCUACUAUAGGAAGUCCCUGUACUUGUUCAAAUAAAUGCUUCACAAAACUGCUUGCAGAGGAAGAAAACAUUUUUCAUUCAUUUUGGGACAAAAGAAACUUUAAUGCCCCGAAUACUUACCUGAUGAGCUGUAUGAAAAUGGAACCGAAAAAGCGGAGCUAUCCAAAAAAGACUUCCAAGAAAAUAUCAUCCAGGGAUGUUACAUUUUCUUAUAAUGUGGGGGUAUGCGGAAUAGAAGUCAUGAUCUGCAAGGAAGCUUUCCUAAGGGUUCAUGGCUUACAUGCACGAAAAGUGAGGAAUUUGCAACAUCAAAUGAAGCAGGGAUUUGCAGUGCCAAAAGAAGAUGGGAGAGGAGAACAUGGAAACUACCCAUAUAAAUUUCAAGACGAAGCUGUACAAAGUGUUAGAGAACUUCUCAACGCCAUACCGAAAUAUAACAGUCAUUACAGUAGGCAACAGAACCCCAAUAAAGUGUAUUUGUAUUGUGAUCUCA